AUCUGACUAUGAGAGGGCUUAUCACAGGUUCCUUGGCACAUGAUGAGGAUUAGUCUGUCAGCACAACCAUGUCUGAGUAAUGCGACUCUUCGUUGCCUUGUGACGUGUCCUCUUGGAGCUAUUUUUUCUUUACCUUCCUCCAGCACGUUGAUCUUUUGGUUUCUCCAGCCAGUGACCAGCUAAAGCCCACUUAAUGUCACUGAAACCCAUCCACGUAAUGGGAAGAAGGGAAAAGCUCUGCUGUUGCAACAGACGUCAUGUGUUUCUUGAGGUUUUCAUUAAAUUAAGGGCAGGACCAUAUUGGCCAUAUUGGACUUAAUGGGCAUGGUUGUUGGUGUCACUGAAAGCAAAAUGAAAACAGCGGUAUGAGUGAUAAUGUUGAGCAUAGUUAGUGUUUAGCACUGCUUUUGAGCAUGAGACAAAAAAGGGGCAAUUAAUACAUCCCUCAGUUUCUAAAAGGGCUGAAAGAUGCAGUUUUGACCCCAGUCCUUGCACUGACUUUUUGAGUGGGUUUGAUGCUGAACAUUUACCAGUUUCCUCUAUUGCAAGCAGGCUCGGGACCAAAGUUCAGCAGAGUUUGGACAACGGCCCCCAAACUGCAGCACGCUGUAGCUGCAGGUUUGCUUUAAGCCUCCGGCUCUGGAGUCUCUGUAAACAAGUCAGGCGGAAACAACCGGCAUGCCGUUUAGCUAAAAUUAAACAUCUUGAGAGAAAAGUAAUGAGGGAGGAGAGCUGGGGCUUGCAGCGGAAGCGCUGGGCUGGAACGCACACCCCGUACAUCCACGUUCUGCAUAGGCGACCUCCAAGCAAAGGCUUUAAUCUCGCUGUGCCACAGCAUCCCCUCUGCAGACCUGGUGCCACAAUGCUGCUUUCAUCAUCGUAGUGUGGACUGCGACCUCGUUAGGCAGGGAAAUUAUGCAAAGGGCUUGCGUUUGGUCUUUGAGGUCCUGGCCCUGCAUGGGGACCCCUCUGCUCUGCAGUCUUUAGAUGGUGACAGAGCUGGGUCAUCUUGUCACCAGAAGGGACGAGGAGCCUGGUGCUGGAUGGGGAUCCUUCUCCCUUUGGGGAACCCGUGUGUGCCAGGCCAGGAUGUGGCUGGCAGCCCGGGGCACCUCCGGCUGUGCUGACUAACGGCUGCUGCUGACACCUCGUGGAAAGCUCACACAAGCAUUUUCUCCAGAAACCUUCCUGUUUCAUUUCCUCCGCCGCUGCGGGCCCUCCUCCGAGCAGCCUGUCUUCUGUCUAUGUCGUGGCUGUGGCAACCCGUCUGACACAGCUCAGGCACUGCUCCUGGCGCCCAGGUGGCUCACCGAAACCAUCAGCCAUCGCUCUGUCCGGGGGGGACUCGGGCCUUGAAACCCCGCUCACCCCUGCGCGAUGGCGCUCGGCACCAUCCUCUUCUUCCUCCUCGCUCCCUUCGUAUGCUGCUCGCUCUCUGCUUCCCUGACUUGGAGUGAGUCAUUGCUUUACAGAGAGCCUGAACUGUCCCUAACCCCAGCUGGAUUGCUUUCUCUUCUGUGAGAUUGGGUCAGCUCCUUCCUGAUCCACAGCAUGAAAGAAAAUCUGCUUUGGAAACAAUGCAGUGAGAAAGCCUUCUCUCGUUACUUUCAUUUCCUGGCUGUCACGCAACUAACGUGACUCCCUUCCAAAAAUCUGCAUUCCAAAUAACGCUUGGGAACCCGAAACAAGCUCAGAAACCCUCCGUGUUGGAAAGGACACCUCUCCACCAGCUCUGGGGUGAGCUCUUGGCUGCCACUAGGUCUGUUGAAAUAACAAACAGGGAUGAAGGAAGAGGGCAGCUCUUCCAUGACCUUCCCUCGGUGAAAGGAGGCUGCGUCGCCGCAGUUAACUCCAGCAGCAACUGCAGGCUUAACAGGUUUGUCUUGCUGCUUUUCUGCUGCUCAGCCCAUGCUGUCUUCAGACCCUUCCUCCUUCUCAGUGUGUGGAGGUCUCAAGUCUCUCUGAGGGUGCUUGCACUGGUAGGACAGCAGAGGCCUGAGGAGUGGUUGUGGCAGCAGACUAAAGGCAACUGAUUUUGGGGACAGAGCCUUGUAAAAGGGUAAAUCUGCUCUCCCCCAUUCCAUUCCUGUCUUUAUUUGGCACUUUUCUGAGUUUCGCUUCCGAUUACUCUACCUGGCGGUAGGCGUGGGCUCACAAAUUCCUCUCGCUAACCCAUGCAGAGUCGGACACCCUGUUUGUAGUCACACACUGACGUGCUUCCUGAACACCCGAUGUGGCACAGGGCUUCGGAGUGAAUUAUUGCCAGGGCUCCUGGAGUAUUACCAAGCAAAACUGCCCCCGAGCAACAGCACUCUUGAAAAUGAUCAGCCAGUGCUUUCCUCGAAGAGCCCCUUGGAAGAAAAUGUUUGUAGUGCUUAGAGAAGAAGAAUUGCUUCAUUAAAAAGAAAAAAAAGCCAAAAACCAAAAUGAAAUCUCACAAAGAGGGCCAAGUAUUACAAAAAUAGUGGGAAGUGUUUAAACCAAGUCUUUAACAGUUUAUUAGAUGUUCUAGUUAAUAGAUUUAUCUUUGACUCAUUAAAAAAAAUAAAUAAAUAGAGCCCAGCUUAGUUACGUACCCAAAAGUCAUACAUCGUUCCCUUCUGUCCCAACAGGAACCCCCCUAAGUCUCCAUCCCCAGCGGGUACUUGAGGGGCUUUUCCACCACGCAGUGUCCAGUGAACAGGGUCCUCACCAGGGGUGCCCGUAGGGACCGGUGCCCCAGCUGCAGCAGCUCUGGGCUCCCCCAGACACAUUUCUGGCUGGAACCCAGUGCCAGGGCUGGUCGGGAGCACCACGGCAGGAUGGAUGGGGAGAGACCUCGCCUGGAGAGGCCGCAGGUAGAGCCGUGUGAAAGCCGUUUGCAGUCUGCUCCUAUAAUCAUGCACUGGUUGAUGUCAAAUACCGGGGUCUGCACCAGUAAGCAGA